rnacentral:tRNA from 1 species
UUAGGGAGACCUACUUCUUUGGGAUUGAAUAGCUUUAUGUCAUCCCGAAGUCAAGUCAUCCUAGGUCGGUCGAGGUAUACUCAAGGCUUUCAAGCUUUUCUAGGUUUGGAUAGAGCAAUUGGCAAUUUAAAGAUUAGCUCUUGGGCAUCUAUAAGCAUGGAGUUAAUGGUUAAACGCUAAGUUGUUAUGGGCUAUUAGCUCAGGUGGUUAGAGCGCACCCCUGAUAAGGGUGAGGUCCCUGGUUCAAGUCCAGGAUGGCCCACUCCUAGAGUUUGGGGGUAUAGCUCAGCUGGUAGAGCGCUGCCUUUGUAAGGCAGAUGUCAGCGGUUCGAGUCCGCUUACCUCCACCAGCUCUAAUAAUCGCACAAUAUUUGGGAUAGUGAUCUCAGCAAAUUGUCUUGGUGUUCCAAGGUAUUUUGCUGGAAUCUUUUCCAGCCAGAACCUUGAAAACUGCAUAGCGAUAAAGAUUCUGUCAGGUAGAUGAGAUGAAUUGAUUAUUUGCUGUUUAUUUAGCAUGAUUUAGAUUGGCAGCUGAUGAUUAGAUGAAUCUCACGCAGACACCAAUAACAACUUUGU